CGUGCAGCAGUCGGGGAAUAUUGGGCAAUGGGCGAAAGCCUGACCCAGCAACGCCGCGUGAGGGAAGAAGGUUUUCGGAUUGUAAACCUCUGUCCUCAAGGACGAAGAAAGUGACGGUACUUGAGGAGGAAGCCCCGGCUAACUACGUGCCAGCAGCCGCGGUAAUACGUAGGGGGCGAGCGUUGUCCGGAAUGACUGGGCGUAAAGGGCGCGUAGGCGGCCGAUUAAGUCUGGAGUGAAAGUCCUGCUUUCAAGGUGGGAAUUGCUUUGGAAACUGGUUGGCUUGAGUGCGGAAGAGGUAAGUGGAAUUCCCAGUGUAGCGGUGAAAUGCGUAGAGAUUGGGAGGAACACCAGUGGCGAAGGCGACUUACUGGGCCGUAACUGACGCUGAUGCGCGAAAGCGUGGGGAGCGAACAGGAUUAGAUACCCUAGUAGUCCA
rnacentral:rRNA from 1 species